rnacentral:rRNA from 1 species
GAUGAACGCUGACAGAAUGCUUAACACAUGCAAGUCUACUUGAACUUCGGUUUGGGUGGCGGACGGGUGAGUAACGCGUAAAGAACUUGCCUCACAGUUAGGGACAACAUUUGGGAACGAAUGCUAAUACCUGAUAUUAUGAUUUUAGGGCAUCCUAGGAUUAUGAAAGCUAUAUGUGCUGUGAGAGAGCUUUGCGUCCCAUUAGCUAGUUGGAGAGGUAACGGCUCACCAAGGCGAUGAUGGGUAGCCGGCCUGAGAGGGUGAACGGCCACAAGGGGACUGAGACACGGCCCUUACUCCUACGGGAGGCAGCAGUGGGGAAUAUUGGACAAUGGACCAAAAGUCUGAUCCAGCAAUUCUGUGUGCACGAUGACGUUUUUCGGAAUGUAAAGUGCUUUCAGUUGGGAAGAAAAAAAUGACGGUACCAACAGAAGAAGUGACGGCUAAAUACGUG